rnacentral:misc_RNA from 1 species
GAUGAAGAACGCAGCGAAAUGCGAUAUGUAAUGUGAAUUGCAGAAUUCAGUGAAUCAUCGAAUCUUUGAACGCACAUUGCGCCCGCCAGUAUUCUGGCGGGCAUGCCUGUUCGAGCGUCAUUUCAACCAUCAAGCCCCGGGCUUGUGUUGGGGACCUGCGGCUGCCGCAGGCCCUGAAAUGCAGUGGCGGGCUCGCUGUCACUCCGAGCGUAGUAAUACAUCUCGCUCUGGACGUGCUGCGGGUUCCGGCCGUUAAAAGCCUUAUUUACCCAAGGUUGACCUCGGAUCAGGUAGGAAGACCCGCUGAACUUAAGCAUAUCAAUAAGCGGAGGA